GUGGGGAAUAUUGGGCAAUGGGGGCAACCCUGACCCAGCGACGCCGCGUGAGGGAAGAAGGCCUUAGGGUCGUAAACCUCUGUUGUGUGGGAAGAAGGAAGUGACGGUACCACACGAGGAAGUCCCGGCUAACUACGUGCCAGCAGCCGCGGUAAUACGUAGGGGACGAGCGUUGUCCGGAAUUACUGGGCGUAAAGGGCGCGUAGGCGGUCAUUUAAGUCAGCUGUGAAAUGGUCCGGCUCAACCGGAUCAUGCGGUUGAAACUGGAUUAUUGGAGUGCUGGAGAGGCAAGUGGAAUUCCCGGUGUAGCGGUAAAAUGCGUAGAUAUUGGGAAGAACACCAGUGGCGAAGGCGACUUGCUGGCCAGCAACUGACGCUGAGGCGCGAAAGCCAGGGGAGCAAACGGGAUUAGAUACCCGAGUAGUCC
rnacentral:rRNA from 1 species